AAGACAAUAUUGAUUUCACACGUUAUUUCGUUGGAGUACAGGCCAUGUUUAUAGAUUAUAUUGUGAAUGUUGUGUAAUUUCGUUAUAAUCUCUUUUAAUAUCUUCAUUUUCCUUUUAGUGUGCAUUUUAAAAACAAGUGAAGUGUCUUUAAAAAGCGUGAAUAUCUUCGAACUGUAAAUUUUCAUUUGCAUACGUAAAUUGAGCGAACUUCUUAUAUUCUAACCUUUUAAAUUAGUGACUCAAAUAAAUCGUGCGACAGUUUACCUGUACAAUUCAAAACGUAUCAGAAUGAAAGUCACAAUAAAAAGCUGGACAGGUGUCGCCACCUGGCGUUGGAUAGCUAACGAUGAUAACUGCGGAAUUUGUCGGAUGCCUUUCGAUGCGAGUUGCCCGGACUGCAAAAUACCGGGAGAUGAUUGUCCUUUAGUUUGGGGGCAGUGCUCGCAUUGUUUCCAUAUUCAUUGCAUCAUGAAGUGGCUGCAUUCUCAGCAAACCAGUCAUCUGUGCCCUAUGUGUCGUCAGGAAUGGAAGUUCAAAGAGUAAAUGUUUUCCCGAUGUUCCCGCAGGUGUCAGCACGCACCAAAUAAUCAGGAAAGAAAGAACAAAUUUGCGAUAGAAUUUUUUUUCUUUCCGUAAUAUCGUCUCGGUAUAAACCGUGUGAGUUUAGAAAGUAUCUCGUAAUUUGGCCUUCUUCGUUGGAAUUAAUCAGGAGAUAGAAUUUUCCUUAACUUCUUGGAAAGCGUACCACGAAUCGAAGGAAAGAAAAGAAAAAAGAAGGGAAAAAAAGGAAGAGAGAAGUAGCUACGGCGUUCGUUCGAUUUAAGAAUUCAACGAUUAUCGUGCCGUUCACAUCUAUGGCUUCGGUUGCCGACUACGAAAGUUGUUUACGCUCACAUUACGCGUCACACACAUCGGCCGAUAAGCCGAACGAGAUAACGUGUAGAUGAGGGAAUACGUAUUCGACGACGUCGACGACGACGACGACACACGUGACCUAUAAUACGAGCGUCUGAUUUGCGUGCUUUGCACGUGUGUUGUACAAGCGACUUUUCUUGUCAGUAAUGGAGGAAAUGAUUUCUUUAAAGUGUCAUGAUACUAAUUACUUCUAUUGUAUUCUCUAACCUUGUUAAAUCUAGGAAGUUCGAUAAGAUAAUGUAAUUGAACAUUAUGGAGAAACAUGUAUGUACAUAAAUCGAUAAAUCAAUUAAAUUGAGAACAAAAUGUCGAAUAUGACAAUAACGAUUAAGAAAUGUUCGUGCGUUUAUUAGAUAAAAAAAAGAAACAAGGAAAAAAGAGGAGAAAAAAAAAAAAAAAAAACCGAAAAAAAAAAAAAAAACAAAAAAAGGGAAACAUUGUAAUUCAAUCAUCAUCACUAAGUCGUGUUGUAAUCGUUCGUGCAAUGCAUUGUUCCGAGAUGCGAUAAAAUAUUCUUUUAAGUAAGACGUGUGUUAAUUCUUUCGUACGUUUUCAAGGUCAAAUCGAUUUAUAUCCCUUAUAUAUAUGCAUAUCGUUUUGAACAAAUUGGGUUGCGUUACGAAUGAAAUAUGAUCGUGCUUCGUAAUCAUCUGACAAGUUUAAACAAAUCUCAAAGUCAAUUAAAAGAGAGAAUUAUGAAGAAAGUCCAAGAAUGUAUCAUAGAAAGUCGUAUAGCCAAGCGAAGGCAAGGACAAGUGACUAAUCAGAAAAUAUUAUCGAAGAAGAACCUAUUUCAGUUUUUUAUGCUUCAUAAAAAACAAACGAAAAAAAAAAAAACAAAAAAGAGAAAAACCCAUUGGGCCCAAGAGACAACAUAUACAGCACUGAAACGGCGGUUGGCAGGUCGGCGUGAUAGAGGUGGAGGAGGAGGAAACAGGGGACACCUAAUGGGUCCCUUCCCUUAUCUCCUCUCUUCGUUCCUUCGUCUUCCUUCUACUUUCCAUCUCUCUCUCUCUCUCUCUCUCUCUCUCUCUCUCUCUCUCUCUCUCUCUCUCUCUCUCUCUCUCUCUCAUUUGAUAGGACGGCAACGAUGCCGAGAGCUUGACGUUACACCUACAACCGUGUACCAAGCAUGAGAAACAUAGCUGAUGUAUCUGUUCUCUCUUCUCUUUGUAGGUAAAAGGAAAGAGAGAGAGAGAGAGAGAGAGAGAGAGAGAGAGAGAGAGAGAGAGAGAGAGAGAGAGAGAAAGAAAGAGAAAUAUACACAUACAC